GAUGAACGCUGGCGGCGUGCCUAACACAUGCAAGUCGAACGAACAGACAAGGAGCUUGCUCUUCUGCCGUUAGCGGCGGACGGGUGAGUAACACGUGCAUAACCUACCUAUUAGUCUGGGAUAACUACGGGAAACCGGAUCUAAUACUGGAUAAUACAUUCAACCGCAUGGUGCAGUAGUGCAAGGCAGUUUUGGUGUUUGUUUUAGCCGAUGUCGGAUUAGCUAGUUGGCUGGGUAACGGCCCACCAAGGCGACGAUGCGUAGCCGAUCUGAGAGGGUGAUCGGCCACACUGGAACUGAGACACGGUCCAGACUCCUACGGGAGGCAGCAGUAGGGAAUCUUCGGCAAUGGGCGAAAGCCUGACGCAGCAACGCCGCGUGAGUGAAGAAGGCCUUCGGAUCGUAAAGCCCUGUUAUUGGGGAAGAACAGCUGUGGAAGUAAAUAUGGCUGUCUUGACGGUACCUAAAGAAAAAGCCACGGCUAACUACGUG
rnacentral:rRNA from 1 species